rnacentral:rRNA from 1 species
UACAGAGGUCCCAAGCGUUGUUCGGAUUCACUGGGCGUAAAGGGUGCGUAGGCGGUCGGGUAAGUCUGGCGUGAAAUCUCCAAGCCUAACUUGGAAACUGCGUUGGAUACUAUCCGGCUCGAGGAAUGGAGGGGAGACUGGAAUACUUGGUGUAGCAGUGAAAUGCGUAGAUAUCAAGUGGAACACCAGUGGCGAAGGCGAGUCUCUGGACAUUUCCUGACGCUCAGGCACGAAAGCCAGGGGAGCGAACGGG